GAGCGAACGCUGGCGGCAGGCCUAACACAUGCAAGUCGAACGAACUCUUCGGAGUUCGUGGCGGACGGGUGAGUAACACGUGGGAACGUGCCUUUAGGUUCGGAAUAACUCAGGGAAACUUGUGCUAAUACCGAAUGUGCCCUUCGGGGGAAAGAUUUAUCGCCUUUAGAGCGGCCCGCGUCUGAUUAGCUAGUUGGUGAGGUAAAGGCUCACCAAGGCGACGAUCAGUAGCUGGUCUGAGAGGAUGAUCAGCCACAUUGGGACUGAGACACGGCCCAAACUCCUACGGGAGGCAGCAGUGGGGAAUCUUGCGCAAUGGGCGAAAGCCUGACGCAGCCAUGCCGCGUGAAUGAUGAAGGUCUUAGGAUUGUAAAAUUCUUUCACCGGGGACGAUAAUGACGGUACCCGGAGAAGAAGCCCCGGCUAACUUCGUG
rnacentral:rRNA from 1 species